UACGUAGGGUGCGAGCGUUGUCCGGAAUUACUGGGCGUAAGGAGCUCGUAGGUGGUUUGUCGCGUUGUUCGUGAAAUUCCCUGGCUUAACUGGGGGCGUGCGGGCGAUACGGGCAGACUGGAGUACUGCAGGGGAGACUGGAAUUCCUGGUGUAGCGGUGAAAUGCGCAGAUAUCGGGAGGAACACCGGUGGCGAAGGCGGUUCUCUGGGCCUGACCUGACGCUGAGGAGCGAAAGCGUGGGGAGCGAACAGG
rnacentral:rRNA from 1 species